rnacentral:rRNA from 1 species
GAUGAACGCUGGCGGCGUGCCUAAUACAUGCAAGUCGAGCGAACAGACGAGGAGCUUGCUCCUCUGACGUUAGCGGCGGACGGGUGAGUAACACGUGGAUAACCUACCUAUAAGACUGGGAUAACUUCGGGAAACCGGAGCUAAUACCGGAUAACAUGUUUAACCGCAUGGUUCAACAGUGAAAGACGGUCUUGCUGUCACUUAUAGAUGUAUCCGCGCCGCAUUAGCUAGUUGGUAAGGUAACGGCUUACCAAGGCAACGAUGCGUAGCCGACCUGAGAGGGUGAUCGGCCACACUGGAACUGAGACACGGUCCAGACUCCUACGGGAGGCAGCAGUAGGGAAUCUUCCGCAAUGGGCGAAAGCCUGACGGAGCAACGCCGCGUGAGUGAUGAAGGUCUUCGGAUCGUAAAACUCUGUUAUUAGGGAAGAACAAAUGUGUAAGUAACUAUGCACGUCUUGACGGUACCUAAUCAGAAAGCCACGGCUAACUACGUG